UGUCCUGUAUUCCAAUUGGUAGAGAUACAGAGCUGUUACGUAGCUCACUCGCGAGCAACUCUGAGGUUCUGGGUUCGAGCCCCAGUGGGACAG
rnacentral:tRNA from 1 species